GGUGUAUAACUUAGUGCUGAUGUCAAAGCUGAUUUCCACACAUAAGAUUUAGAUUUCGUGUUCAGAUUCUCUGCUGUCUGGUAUUGGAACGUGAAUUAGAAAUGUCAGCGCAAGCUUUACUACAAGCAACCAAGCUAUCUUUUACCAAGGAGAAUGGAUUUUUGGUCUUAAUCUUAACUGGCCUUGUUGUUGCAGAAAACUUUGUUGAGAAAGACUUUCACUGCCCUUGCAAAUCCGACUUUAGAGAAACGCUUGUCUUUUUCUACCUGUUCAUACCUGCCUUUGUCAUUUUUGCUGUCGUGUUUUGCAUUAUGUGUGAGCUGGAAAGGCAGAAAUCUAAUAAGGAAACUCAAAAGCAGAAAUCUAUUGAAGAAACUCAAAAGCAGAAAUCUAUCGAAGAAACUCAAAAGCAGAAAUCUAUCGAAGAAACUCAAAAGCAGAAAUCUAACAGGGGAACUCAGAUAUGUGGAAGACCUAAUGGAUCUUCAUGUAAACAGAUUUUUUUUUUUAGCUUGUGGUGUUCUAUUCCAAGUACUUUUUGGAUACUGUUGUUCUUCUGUGAUGGCAGAUAUUGGGCUUGUUAUCAUACUACAUUUGAAGGAGAUGCUGACAGCACUAAAGACCCUCCAUGGGAAUGGUGUAACACAAACCGAACAUUGACUGCUGACCAGAAGAAAGCAGAGAGAGCAUAUAACAACUCUAAGUAUGGAGGUUUCAUUGCCCUCUUGGUCAUCUCAUUUAUACUACUGAUGUCAUAUAUUAUAUUUAAUUGCUGCUGUAGAGAACAUGGAGUCUCCAGUGAACAGACCAGGGCAGAGAAGGGCACUGCUGAGGCACAGGAAAGCAGUGGACAGAGGACAACUACACAUAUGGUGCAAGAGUCUGAAAUGACUCCAUUGCAAGGCACUGCUGGGACAGAGGAAGGCCGAAGAUAGCAGACCACUACAAUUCAACAAUCAGUUUAGAACGAAGAGAUAACAAGAUUUUCAAGAAAGCAUCAGUUCAUCAUUGUAACAUGACCUACCACCCUGCAGAGUUUAGCUACAACCCUAAUUUAAUACACCUGGUCCAGGUAAUAAAGGCCUUCAGGAGCGUCUGAAUAUUAGAGUCAGGCGUGUUGGAAAUGAACUCUCCAGGGUGGUAGAUCUCUAGAACCAUGAUUGGGCCUUAGGAGAUGAUGUUAAAUCCUGGAAGGUCUGAUUUCUAAAGAAAAUGUAAUAAAUCAGGUAUUAUUUUGUGUAGAACCGUUAAUAAAUUUCACAAAAUUUUCAAAAAAGAUAAUUGGAGUGAUUUGAGUUAUUUUUUGAUUUUUAUCAUGCCUCAGCCUCAAAAAUGCAAGCUAGCCUAUGCAGAGGUA